rnacentral:rRNA from 1 species
CGUGGGGAACCUGCCCCAUAGUCUGGGAUACCACUUGGAAACAGGUGCUAAUACCGGAUAAGAAAGCAGAUAGCAUGAUCAGCUUUUAAAAGGCGGCGUAAGCUGUCGCUAUGGGAUGGCCCCGCGGUGCAUUAGCUAGUUGGUAAGGUAAAGGCUUACCAAGGCGAUGAUGCAUAGCCGAGUUGAGAGACUGAUCGGCCACAUUGGGACUGAGACACGGCCCAAACUCCUACGGGAGGCAGCAGUC